CUAGUUUUUCAUAUCCAAGAUAGAAUAUAUAAUGGGGAGAAAACUGGAUCUUUCUGGCUUGACUGAUGAAGAAGCAGAGCACGUACUUCAGGUUGUUCAGCGAGAUUUCAGCCUCCGUAAGAAGGAAGAAGAAAGACUGAGCCUUACGAGCCUCAGCCCAAAGACGGGUGGUGUGACCAGUAUCUUUGGGAAUGCCUGGUGGUGGAGGACCUCACGGACACCUGGGAGCAAGUUCUUCUGGCCCAGACCAAUGUGCUUGACACUCUUCUACUGCUGAUAACGACUGCUUCUGCUCGCAAAGAAAGGGGAAUGGAGAUAACCCAGUUUCUCUAACUUCAURUUGUUCUAUGUAUUAACUAUGACACCUUCACCGAGGCAAUAAAUGUCACACUCCUUCACACAGACCCAGUUAUGGCACAGGAAUUCCUCUGUGUGUUACUUUGUUCCAGCUCAACUCACAACAGUGGUCCCUUCAGCAUCUGUGCGUGAAUGCUGGGGAGGCUACACAACAAAUGUCUUGAAUAUAAACUUUUGCUCACAGAAAAUUGUUUGUUUGUUGU